UACGUAGGGGGCAAGCGUUGUCCGGAAUCAUUGGGCGUAAAGAGCGCGUAGGCGGCCCUGUAAGUCCGCUGUGAAAGUCAAGGGCUCAACCCUUGAAUGCCGGUGGAUACUGCAGGGCUAGAGUCCGGAAGAGGCGAGUGGAAUUCCUGGUGUAGCGGUGAAAUGCGCAGAUAUCAGGAGGAACACCGAUGGCGAAGGCAGCUCGCUGGGACGGUACUGACGCUGAGACGCGAAAGCUAGGGGAGCGAACAGG
rnacentral:rRNA from 1 species